AACGAACGCUGGCGGCAUGCCUAACACAUGCAAGUCGAACGAGACCUUCGGGUCUAGUGGCGCACGGGUGCGUAACGCGUGGGAACCUGCCUUUAGGUUCGGAAUAACAGUGAGAAAUUACUGCUAAUACCGGAUGAUGUCUUCGGACCAAAGAUUUAUCGCCUUUAGAUGGGGCCCGCGUUGGAUUAGCUAGUUGGUGGGGUAAAGGCCUACCAAGGCGACGAUCCAUAGCUGGUCUGAGAGGAUGAUCAGCCACACUGGGACUGAGACACGGCCCAGACUCCUACGGGAGGCAGCAGUGGGGAAUAUUGGACAAUGGGCGAAAGCCUGAUCCAGCAAUGCCGCGUGAGUGAUGAAGGCCUUAGGGUUGUAAAGCUCUUUUACCCGAGAUGAUAAUGACAGUAUCGGGAGAAUAAGCUCCGGCUAACUCCGUG
rnacentral:rRNA from 1 species